rnacentral:rRNA from 1 species
AUGGCGAGCGGGCGGUUCAUGGAGGAGAUGAUGAGGGAGCACGAGCAGAGCCUGCUAGAGGCGACGUGCGGCGGCCUGUUCGACCACAUCGAGGACCUGCUCGACUUCCCCAAGGAGGACUCGGCGGAGGACGUGCUGCUCCUCGACGCGCCGGUGCCUGACAGCCCCCUCGCCGCGCGCGUCCUCGCCGGCGGCGCGCCCCCGCCGGCGCCGGCCUCGCUGGAGCAGCAGCAGCAGCAGGCGUCGCUCAUGGUGCCCCCGCCCCCGCCCGCCGGGGACCACUCCGCGGCCUUCCUCGGCGCCCUCGGAGACACCCACAUUGGCACGUGCGACGAGCUGGACAUGGACAUGGCGCAGCUCGAGUGGCUGUCGGGGCUGUUCGACGACACCUCCAUCCCGCACGAGCCGGCCUUCGCCUGCGCCGCGCCCAUCAUCAGGGCCUCCGCGCUGAGUGCCAACGCCGGCGUCGUGCUGCCCGACAAGAUGGAGGACGCGCUCUUCCGCAGCUCCAGCCCCACCUCCGUGCUCGAGGACGGCGCGAACAAUGUCAACGUGAACAUGAACAACAACAACAGCGGGGGCUCCUCGGCGUCGUCGACGUCGUCGUCGGCAUCGUCCUCCUCGGAGUCAUUCUCCGGGAGCGGCCGCCCGUGGUCUGUGCCGCUGUCGCCGCGCCCGGAGCCGCCGGUGCUCGUCAUCCCGGCGCGCGCGCGCAGCAAGCGGUCCCGCGCCUCAGCGUUCCCCGCUGCCAUCCGCGCCGCUGUGCCCGCGCCCGAGACCAUCCUCGUGCCGACGCCCAUGUUCUCCUCCACCUCCUCCUACUCGGAGGAGCCCGAGUGCAUUGCCGAGUCCAACUCGCAGCCCAAGAAGAAGAAGAAGGCCAAGAGGCCGACCCCUCCGGUCACCUCUGAUGCUGAGGGCGACGCCGACUACGAGGAAGGCAGCGGCCUCGCGCCCGGCGAGGUGCGGAGGUGUAUGCAUUGCCAGAUCGACAAGACGCCGCAGUGGCGCGCUGGGCCGCUGGGGCCCAAGACGCUCUGCAACGCAUGCGGCGUCCGCUACAAGUCCGGCCGCCUCUUCCCGGAGUACCGCCCGGCGGCCAGCCCCACCUUCGUGCCAGCCAUCCACUCCAACUCCCACAAGAAGGUGGUGGAGAUGCGCCAGAAGGUUGAGCCCAAGGGCGACGACCUGCUGCAGUUCAUCCGCCGCCGGGAUUGA